ACAUAGAAGUAAAAAAAUACAGUUAGUUUCGACCUAAUAUAAAGGAAUUAUUCCUCAUGUU
rnacentral:tRNA from 1 species